rnacentral:rRNA from 1 species
AAUUUUGGACAAUGGGGGAAAACCUGAUCCAGCCAUCCCGCGUGAAUGAUUAAGGCAUUCUGGUUGUAAAGUACUUUUGGCAGAGAAGAAAAGGUAUCUCCUAAUCCGAGAUACUGCUGACGGUAUCUGCCGCAUUAGCAUCGGCUAACACCGGGCCAGCAGCUGCAGUAAUACGUAGGUCGCAAGCGUGAAUCGGAAUUACGGGGCGUAAAGCGUGUGUAGGCGGUUCGGAAAGAAAUAUGUGAAAACCCAGGGCUCAACCUUGGAACUGCAUUUUUAACUGCCGAGCUAGAGUAUGUCAGAGGGGGGUAGAAUUCCACGUGUAGCAGUGAAAUGCGUAGAUAUGUGGAGGAAUACCGAUGGCGAAGGCGGCCCCCUGGGAUAAUACUGACGCUCAGACACGAAAGCGUGGGGAGCAAACA